GACGAACGCUGGCGGCGUGCUUAACACAUGCAAGUCGAACGGAAAGGCCCUGCUUUUGUGGGGUGCUCGAGUGGCGAACGGGUGAGUAGCACGUGAGUAACCUGCCCUUGACUUUGGGAUAACUUCAGGAAACUGGGGCUAAUACCGGAUAGGAGCUCCUGCUGCAUGGUGGGGGUCGGAAAGUUUCGGCGGUUGGGGAUGGACUCGCGGCUUAUCAGCUUGUUGGUGGGGUAGUGGCUUACCAAGGCUUUGACGGGUAGCCGGCCUGAGAGGGUGACCGGCCACAUUGGGACUGAGAUACGGCCCAGACUCCUACGGGAGGCAGCAGUGGGGAAUAUUGCACAAUGGGCGGAAGCCUGAUGCAGCAACGCCGCGUGCGGGAUGACGGCCUUCGGGUUGUAAACCGCUUUCGCCUGUGACGAAGCGUGAGUGACGGUAAUGGGUAAAGAAGCACCGGCUAACUACGUG
rnacentral:rRNA from 1 species